rnacentral:rRNA from 1 species
UACGUAGGUGGCAAGCGUUGUCCGGAUUUAUUGGGCGUAAAGAGCGUGUAGGCGGCCAAACAGGUCCACUGUGAAAACUCGAGGCUCAACCUCGAGAGGUCGGCGGAAACUGUCUGGCUAGAGUCCGGAAGAGGAGAGUGGAAUUCCAGGUGUAGCGGUGAAAUGCGUAGAUAUCUGGAGGAACACCGGUGGCGAAGGCGGCAUCCUGGACCGGUAUUGACGCUGAGGCGCGAAAGCUAGGGGAGCAAACGGG